AUUGAACGCUGGCGGCAUGCUUUACACAUGCAAGUCGAACGGCAGCGGGGAGGAGCUUGCUUCUCUGCCGGCGAGUGGCGAACGGGUGAGUAAUACAUCGGAACGUGUCGAGAAGAGGGGGAUAACCACCCGAAAGGGUGGCUAAUACCGCAUAAAUUCUGAGGAAGAAAGCUGGGACCUAGGAAUAGGCCUAGCGCUUUUUGAGCGGCCGAUGUCGGAUUAGCUAGUUGGUGAGGUAAAGGCUCACCAAGGCGAAGAUCUGUAGCGGGUCUGAGAGGAUGAUCCGCCACACUGGGACUGAGACACGGCCCAGACUCCUACGGGAGGCAGCAGUGGGGAAUUUUGGACAAUGGGGGCAACCCUGAUCCAGCCAUGCCGCGUGUAUGAAGAAGGCCUUAGGGUUGUAAAGUACUUUUGUUAGGGAAGAAAAGUCAGCUGUGAAUAAUGGCUGAUACUGACGGUACCUAAAGAAUAAGCACCGGCUAACUACGUG
rnacentral:rRNA from 1 species